rnacentral:misc_RNA from 1 species
AACGCAUCUUGCGCUCCUUGGUAUUCCGAGGAGCAUGCCUGUUUGAGUGUCGUGAAUACUCUCAAACUCUUAGUUUUUUCUCGAAAGGACUUUGAGUUUGGAUUUGGAUGUUGCAGUGACUUUGGUCAUGGCUCGUCUCGAAAUGCAUUAGCUGGUCCACCUCGGUCGUAACAAACGGUGUGAUAAGAAACAUUCAUUUGUGACUGUAGCGCUGCUGUUACUGACUGGAUAAAGACUGCUUAUAAUCGUCUGCUUGCGGACAAACUUCACUAUGUCAUCUGACCUCAAAUCAGGUAGGACUACCCGCUGAACUUAA